rnacentral:lncRNA from 1 species
UUCUUUUGUGGGCGCUCCUACAGACACCAAAUCAGCAUUAAUGAAAGGAAAACAAUGACUGAUGUUUUUCAAUCAGGGAAAAAAAGAAAGAAGAGAAGCUAGCCGCCCCGCCACCAUUCUCUACCGCCUUAAAAAGUAUUAUUUUAAUGUUUUUUUAAAUAAAAAACAUUUUAAAAAGCAACCAUAAACCUACCCUCAAACAUCCCUUAAAAAAACUGAUUUUGAAAGCUAGUGGAUGCCACACGCAGUGACACAACACAACAUGUCCUCCAACAUGCUAGGCAUGGUCUACACACGCCAGCUAUGUAUUUUGUGUCUUCGAUAACUUCAAUCUUUGGUUGUAUUCACCUUCAAUCAAGUCUUGAAUUUCAUCCUAGCUUAAGCUGAGCCUCUUUUUUUUUUUUAAUUUAAUUCCUAAUUAUAUAAUAACUUUUUAAUUUAGGCUUGAAUUUCAUACAACCCAAGCCUAAUGCAGGGCCAAACAGGGAGAGAAUGAAGGCAGGAGAAAGACAAAAGAUAGAUGAUUGCCCUGAUUAGCGCAUUAUGAUCAUGCUCAUUACCUUAUUCGUGAUUUUUGUGUUUGUUCAUGGUUGCUGGGUGUGAUUCGUUUAGUCUCCACCUCAAAUUCAAAACAAAACUAUAUAUCAUAUUGAUUUUUUUUUUUAAAGCCAACCCAUGUUUUUAUGGGCUAUCUAGAUUGCCUUUAGUCCUGUAAAUCUACUUGGUUACAUUGAAAUAACUCUCACAUGAUUAAUUUGAAGCUUGGGCUAUGCAGAGAAUCAAGUCGAGGUUUUAAGGUUAAUCCAAUAAAUUGAAGUUAAUGACAUUGGCGAAGAGUUUAGAUAAAAUAAAAAAACACAAUGUAUCUUAAAUUUUCAUCUUAUUAUGAAUUUGCUUUUACUCAUGUUGAGUUUUGUCAAAAAACAAUUUCAACCUAAAGCUUAAGCUUUUAGUUUAGGUCCAAGAUAUGAUUUAUCUAUAUCACACUUUCUCAAAUAAAAGCCCUUUGAACUUGAAACUUGCACAUGCCCACAUUAUCUUAUGCUUAAUUUUUAUCAAAUAAAUAGAGAUGGUGAGAUUCGAACUCGUGAUCGCUUGGUCAUCAAGGCUGUGAUACCAUGUCAAAUAAUCAUCUCAACCCAAUAGCUUAAUCUUUUAGGUUAGGUUCCAAAAUAUGCUUUAUAUUAUUCUAUAACACACCUUCUCAAGUAAAAGUCAUUUAAGCUUGAAACUUGCAUAGAAACAAAUUAUCUUGUGCUUAAUUUUUAUCAAAUAAAUAGGAUGGUGAGAUUCGAACUCGUGACCACUUGGUCAUCAAGGCUCUGAUACCAUGUCAAAGAACCAUCUCAACCCAAUAGCUUAGGUUUUUAAGUUACGUCCCAAGAUAUGAUUUUUAUUAUUCUAUAACAAGUUUCGAGUUUCAACAUGGUUAUUUUGUAAGUUAUGAGACCGUGAGUAAUAUUUUUUAAAAAAAACUUGUGAGGACAUUACAAGAAUGAAACUAGUUACAAGCUAUUAUUCAUGUUAUUGAUUCAUCUAUUAUUACUUGCUCAUUUAUUCUAAUAUUACUUUAGAAAAACAAAAAUCAUUUUGAUAUAAUCUGGCUAAUAAAUUCUUUUAUUUGAUAUAUAUAUAUAUAUAUAUAUAUUAGCUUAUAAAUCAAUUAAGAUUAAAUAUAAUAUUUCAAUAAUUUUUAAAAUAUAUUUUUUAUAUUAAUACUGUGAAUUCAAGAAAUUUAAAAUCUCAUAAACUUGGCUUUAAGUACACAAGUGAUAGGUUAUUUUGAUGUGACGAUGUCAAAAAUAAAUUUUAAAAAUUAAAAAAUAUAUUAUUUUGAUGUAAUUUUUUUUUAAAAAUCACAUUGAAAAUAAUCUCUACCACACAUAUGUACUCUCAAAAAUAUCCUUGAAAAUUAUUUUAAUAUUAUGAUUUCAAUUAUAGUUAAUAAAAAAUUAAAAAAAAAAGUGAUAUAAUCUAUUAGAAUCAUCGAUUUGUCUUUGUUAUAUAUAGACUCCUGUGGAUGCUUCUUGUUUACAAAUCCAACUUCUUCUUCGUGUUUUCCAAAGCCAACACAGUCUUCUGUUAAUUUCUUGCUCCUAGCACCAUUUAUAGGUAUCAAGUGAGGAAGCCAUAGAAACUAGAAACUUUGAAAUAAGUAAACACAUACUUUAGGAUCCAUCGCCAUUGACUUAAAGCCAAAAAAAUCAGAGUCUAGAGAUGUAGUUUUUCUUUCCCCCAAUUCUUAGAGUUCUCUCAUAUGCCUUGAGCAUUGUUCUCCACAGCAGCUGUGGCGAUAAGGUUAGCUGCUGUAGAGAUAAGGUUAGCUAAAAGGCCAAAAAGUGCUUCAAAACUAGGUGUUGAAAGGUCUAUUGCCUUCUCAAUGCUUAUUCAAACUCAUUUCCUUCUCCUUUGCUUAGUCAAAUAAUGAUUUGUCUAUUUAAAUUUUAAGAUCAUAAAACCUAUAGUUGGAUGUAUUUCAACCACACCUCUUAACUGUUAUAAGUUGUUAUAUCUAUCUUUAUGUUGUUUUUUAUGAGACUAGGUUUUUAAAAGGGGAAAAAAAAAAGAGGUUGUAAAUUUGAAAAUUGAUUUAAUUUUAUAGAUUCAAUUUAAUUUACAGGAUUUUAAACAACUUAAAUUAAACUAUAAAAUUGUCAAACAAUUAUUUCAAUUAGGAUGUCUUUACAAAUGCUUAUAGUGAUUACCUAAAAAGUAAUAGUUAUCAAGGAAAAAAAAAAGAGCUUAGAACAUGUAUUGGGUUCAUUAAACUAAAUUAAUUUAAUGUAAUAUGAUUUUAGUUCAUGGUAUGUAGUUGCUAAAGCGCGCAAGAUCUUAUUCUUAUUCUUUACUCCUAACAUAAUAAAACAAAAUUAACAGUUAAAGUACAUUCUAGUCCAUAAAAUGGUCACACUUUUUAUUUAUUUGAUCCCUAUAGUUUCAGUUAAAGUUCAUUUUGGUGCUUUACGUCUUCAUAUUUUUCAUUUUGGCCCUUAAGUUUUCAUUAUUGUGUCCAUGUACUUUUGGUAAAAUUUCAUUUUAGUCCCUUAAUUUUUAAUAUUGAUCCUUAGAGUUUGGGUAUUAGUGUUCUUUUCAUCGAUCACAUUAAAAAAAAAAAAAAAAAAAACAAUGAUCUUGGCUUCAUUGGGUUCGUUUUCAAGAGAAGAGUUUUAUAUAGGUGAUUUUGACCUUUAACAAUGCUAGACAAAAUACAUCAAAAUCUAAAAAGUUUUUUUUUUUUAUGUGGAUUGAUUUUGGAUUUUAGAUUGAUUAGAGAGUCUUUUGAGUUUGAAAUGGGAUUAUUGAGAUUUCUAGGAUGAUUUAGAAAAAAUACAUGUUGAAAAAGAGGAUUUUAAGGGUUUCAAAACUAUGAACCUUGAUUUUCUAGUCAUCAAUGGCGACUCAAAUAUGUUAUAGUGGAUGAUGCAUCCUUCACUCUAUUUAAAAAAAAAAUACUUGAGUAUACAACAUGUUAUCUACUCUUUUUCUUUUUUUAAUGAUGUAAUAUGUUAAUGGCCUACAAACCCAGGUGUGUUUUGGCCAAUUUUAGUUUUCAAAUUGGGUGGGCAAUAUGUCACCCGUCAAAUUUUUAGAAAAAAAAACAGAUGAAGAGUUGUCUAAUAUCAAGAAUCCAUUCACUAAAGAGGAGGCUGAAAAACAGGGGGUGCUUUUCUAACCUUAAAAUCCAUUAUUCAAUUUAUUCAACACCUAAUAAAUACCCAUAAAACCUUAAAAAACCAAUUUAUCAACUUUAAAAAUACCGAGAAGGUCCAAAAACACAUAAUCGACCUUGAUAUACUGUUUAGGGCAAUAUGAAGGAUUAAAAAUACUUCAUUGGAACUCCUUUCGUUAAAUAGAUCUCGUUGACAUUGAGAUCAACCUUUUUUGCUAUUGAAAUAUAAUCAACCAACAAAUUUUUCUCUAUUUCAUUAUUUAAUGUGUGACUUUCUCUCUUCUUUCUCAAACCUAGCAACUAAAAUGUGAAUAAAAUAAAGUCUUGGAAUGAUUUUCAAACGAAAAUGACAAAAAUCUUAAGGCUAAAUUUUCAAAAAAGAGCUGCUAUUUUACUUAACUUUCAAUUUUGGUCCUCUCAUCUUUCAUUUUUUCCAAACAAUAAAAUUGAUUUAUUUUAAAAAAAUUGAGAACAUACCCACUGUUGGAAUGUUUUUUGAGACUGUGAUAAACUGUCAGAAAGCAAUACGAAAGAAAUCAUCAAGUUAAAUAAUUAAUCAAUACAAUAUAUAAGGAUGAAAUUAAAAAGAAAAGAUGGGAGAAAUAAAAAAAAAAAAAAAAAACAAAGAACCAAAUAAGAAUUUGUUUUUUUUUUUUUCUAAAAUAAAGAGCUACCAUUUCACAUUACUUUUAGUUUUGGUCCUCUUAUUUUUAUUUUUUCACAAACAACAAAAUCAUUUUUUUUUCUUUUGCAAAAUAAAGAGCCAACACAAUGCUGAGAUGUUUUCUUAAGACCGCGAUAACAAAAAAAAAAAACCAUCAAGCCCAAUCAUCAAUUAAAAAAACAAGAAAUUAAAAAAAAAGUACAAUGAUCAUAGUAAAAAAAAAUGAAGGAAAAAAAAUAUAAACAAUGUUCCAAUCCACAACACUAAGAGGAGAGGUAUGAUAUUUCCCUGGUCCUUGGUAAUAUAUUUUUUAAAAUAAAAAUGGGGAAUAGAUAAACUAUAUAUACACACACACACUGUGGAUUAUAGGUGGAUCUUGCAAAUAAUUUUACAAUAUCAUAGGUCCAUAGGUGGAUUUCUAGUAAAUAAUGUAUUUCUUUUUAAUAAAAAAAGGGUGUGUAGAUGAACUAACUAUACACUCAAUAUGAAAUAUUGUAUUUUUUACAUUUCUACACAUAUUUGAUGUCACUUCCAAUAAAUUUAUGUCAAUUUUAAAACUUAACAUACUGAUUAAAAUAUGCCACUGUUCCAAAAAGCCGAUAAUGGAAGAUUAACGAUGGGAAACAUACAAGGGUAAAAAUAAAAUUGAAGUAAAAGAGAUGGAUCCAAAGUAAUUGAAGAGUAGUCUAACGCCAAGAAUCUGCUUACUAGAGUUGGCUGAAAACUCAUGGGGUGUUUUCUUACCUUAAAAUCUAUUAUUCAAUCCAAUUUUACUUAAAAAUAUUUAAUAAAUAUUCUUAGAAUCUAAAAAAAUCAAUCUAUCAACUUAAAAAUACCAAAAAAGUCCAAAAACACAUAAUCAACAUUGAUAUACUUUUUAAGGCAAUACAAAGGUUUAAAAAAAUUUAAUGAGACCUCUCGUUUGAAUAGAACUCGUCGACAUUGAAAUUGAUUUUUUUUGCUAUAGAAAUAUGGCCAACCGAUAAUUUUUUUUUAUUUCAUUAUUUAACAUGAUUUUUUUUUUCUUUUAAAUUUAAGAAUUAAAAUGCGAAUAAAAUAAAGUCUUAAUCUAAAUCAAAUAAUUUUCAAACUAAAAGAACCCAAAGAAAAUUGGACUAGAUCUUAAUGCUGAAUUCUAAAUUAAACAUUGGUUUCAAAAAUUCAAGUACCGAGUUAGUUAUGAUUACGGAAAAGUGGACACUACCUUUAAAACAUCAUUUCAAGAUAAAGGUAACCCUUACUUAUGUUUUAUUAUUAUUAUUAUUCAAAUGCUAUAAUAUUUUGAGCUUAUUUACAAGUUGUUUUCAAAUAUAGUUAACGUCGGUCUCUAAAAAUAGAAAACACAUCAAAAAAUGAUAUCAGUCUCUAAAAAUAAAAAACUCGUUUAAAAUGUUGACGUUUAACCCUAAAAAGAAGAGCUACAUCUGAGUUGCAAAAAGAAACAAUGGGCAUAAUCCAUAUUUUGUUUUAAACUUUUGACAUUGGUUUUUUUUUUGUAAACAAGAGACAUGUCAACAAACAAUGUUCAUUUCUAAAAAGAAAGAUUAUGUUUGUAUCGCUAAAAAAUAGGCAUAACCCGUGCUAGAAACCCACUCACGAUGACGGGAUAAGAUGUGUGUUGGACCCGCAUUGUUAUUUUUUUUUAUAUUUAUUUUUGGUAUUUUACAAAAUAUAAAGAAAUUUUUACAAAUACUUGUAUAAAAAGGAAUCCCCAAAAUUACCUGAGUGCCACUGUAUAGAUUAAAAGACUAAAAUACCCUUGACCUUCUCAGGAAAUCUCUUAGAUUUACUAUGGUGCGGACGUGAGCAUUGUAAACAGGUGCACUGAAACUUGUGGACCGCUGGAUUACUUCUGAGUUGAUCCUUUAGUUGCUGCUGGCUUGAUCUUAAGGUUGAUUGGACGGUGUUGAUGGACAAGUAUUGGCUUUGGUGUGGUAAGGUGCACUAGAUUUUUAGUAUACCUGGUGAUGUGGCACAAUAAGAUCAAAGGACAGAUUUAUUUAGGGGCUGAGAUGGAUUUGAGUUUUUAAUCCAGUGUGGUGAACUGUAUUGUAUCAAAUCUAAUCAGCGGUUCAAAACUAAAUACUACUAGAUCAACGAUUAGGAUAUUUUUUGUAUUUUUUGAAUUGUUUUUUUAAAAAAAUCAAUAUCUUACUUGCUGGAAUAAAAACUAAAAAAAGUAUAUGAAAACUAAAAAUAUGUGUUCACUACUCCUCCUUUAUUCUUUUUUUUUUUUUUUUUGCUUCCCCCUUUUUUUUUUUCAAUUUUUCAUUAAUUUUCAUUGGCUUUUAUAAGCAAUGAUGAGGAGACAUGAAAAUUUAUAACUAAGAGAUACAGCUCUGUCUCAAAGAAAAAAUUUCACUGCCCCAACUGCACCAACUACUCCAAUAAAAACUUAUUCAUUAUUGAAAAAGCCUUUGAGCUACUAAAAAUCAAUUUUGGUAACUAAAAUAUUAAUUUCAAAUAUAGAAAAAAAUAUUUUUCUACUAGUAACAACUUGGUAGACCGAGUUUUGACUUAAAAUAAUAGUUUUGAUCCAAAAUAACAUGAAACUUAUUUUUUAUUCCGGUCGACAUGGUCUAACUCAUAUUGACCCAUGGACAUGGUUCUAACCGAAAAUGAUAGUUUUGAUCCAAAACAGCAUGAAACUCAUUUUUUACCCCGGUCAACAUGGUUUGACCCAUAUUGAUCCGGUGGACUCAAUUUUGACCGGAAAUGAUAUUUUUGACCCAAAACAGGAUGAAACUCAUUUUUUUACCUCGGCUGACAUGGUUUGACUCAUAUGACUCGGUUUUCAUCGAAAAUGAUAUUUUUGACAUGAAAUGGCCUGAAACUUAAUUUUUACCCCGAUCGACACAGUUUGACCCGUAUUGACCCAAUUAGUUUUUUUAAAUAUAUUUUUGAAUUUAAAACUUUUUCUUAAAUUUUUUUUGGAUUUUUAUGAAUAAAAAUAGAUAUAAAAUGACAUUCAAGAAAAUUUAGAGAAUCCAAAAUUGGGUUAUUAAAGUUGUAUAAAACAAAAAAGCAAGCUGGAGAUAUUCUCGCUUUCUUAAGCAUGAUCAAGUAAAAUAUAAAAAGAAAAUAGCACUAACAAGAUUAAGAAAAAGUGAAAGGGAAACAAACUUGGUCCAUUAUAUUGUCUUCAAGGAUUUUGAUUGGCACUCAGAAGAAGGAACCAGUGCCAAGCUGCUCGACAACCAGGAGACCUCCUGUCCUCCUUUGAGAGAAAGAAAGAAGGUGAAGUUCAGAGCAAAAAAGAAUAAGUAAAAGGAAGCUCAAUAAGAUACUUUUAAUUCUUUUUUUUUUAUUGAGAAUUUUAAUUCACGCUUUACUGUAGCUCGUAAGAACACAAUGAGGAAGAAACUAUGUCCUGAACUCUGAUCUGAUCAUGUCAAGAACUCCUGAACAAUAUCAGGGUGAAAAGAGUAACUUGCAAGAAUUCUAGAUGACAUGUAAUCUUGGAAAAAAGAAAAAAAGAGAAUAUGGAGCAAUUACCUGGCCCAACAAGAUCUUCAAACGAUGAUCUGACUAAACUCAGAAUGAAUUAGAGAAACAGUGAUGAAGGGAGAAAAGAAUGCGGCAUGCACAGCUAAGAAAGGAAU